rnacentral:rRNA from 1 species
GAUGAACGCUGGCGGCGUGCUUAACACAUGCAAGUCGAACGGAAAGGCCCAAGCUUGCUUGGGUACUCGAGUGGCGAACGGGUGAGUAACACGUGGGUGAUCUGCCCUGCACUUCGGGAUAAGCCUGGGAAACUGGGUCUAAUACCGGAUAGGACCACGUCUUGGAUGUUGUGGUGGAAAGUUUUUUCGGUGUGGGAUGAGCUCGCGGCCUAUCAGCUUGUUGGUGGGGUAAUGGCCUACCAAGGCGUCGACGGGUAGCCGGCCUGAGAGGGUGUACGGCCACAUUGGGACUGAGAUACGGCCCAGACUCCUACGGGAGGCAGCAAUGGGGAAUAUUGCACAAUGGGCGCAAGCCUGAUGCAGCGACGCCGCGUGGGGGAUGACGGCCUUCGGGUUGUAAACUCCUUUCGCUAGGGACGAAGCGUUUUUGUGACGGUACCUGGAGAAGAAACACCGGCUAACUACGUG